rnacentral:rRNA from 1 species
ACGCUCGACACCUACGGAAGGCAGCAGUGGGGGAUAUUGCACAAUGGGGGAAACCCUGAUGCAGCGACGCCGCGUGAAGGAAGAAGGCCUUCGGGUUGUAAACUUCUGUCGUACGGGACGAUAGUGACGGUACCGUACAAGAAAGCCACGGCUAACUACGUGCUAGCAGCCGCGGUAAUCUGAGCGGGCUGGCAAGGC